rnacentral:lncRNA from 1 species
UGUUUGCUCAUGAGCACACAGGCCAGGAGCUGUUUCGGGGGCCGCGGACAGGGCUAGAGGCGCGUUUGCCAGGCAGCGCGCUGCCCCUGCGCAUCGCCAGCCCUGACAGACGUGCACCACGGAAGGGACGUGAUUGUGGCUGCCUUCUCGGGAGACUCAAAUUCUUUGGAUCUGCACACGAUUCCUGGGUCCCAUCGGGGAUGACUGGAAACCCAGUCUGACCCAUCCCCGUUGAGUUCCGUGCCAACAGGCAUCUUGAUUUAUCCUUGCUUUCACACGUAGAACCAAAUGGGAUGAUUCGGACUGAAAUAAGCGGAGCGGAAAUUGCCGAAGAGAUGGAAAAGGAGAGGCGCUUCUUCCAGCUACAGAUGUGCGAGGUAAGGCGGUGGUGAAGGCAGGUCCUACAGCCCAGGCUGUGCUGGCUCUGCCCUCACCUGUGGGAGCGUCUCACCGGUACCAGCGGCUUCAGAGAAAACACCACAUGCAUUAGUGGACUCCCUUUG